GCGUUAAUGGUUCAGUGGUAGAAUUCUUGCCUUCUACACAAGAGACCUGGGUUUGAUUCCUGGCCAUUGCA
rnacentral:tRNA from 1 species